ACGGCUCAGUAACACGUGGAUAACCUGCCCAAGGGUCCGGGAUAACCCCGGGAAACUGGGGAUAAUACCGGAUGGAUCACUUAUGCUGGAAUGCUUGGUGGUCGAAAGGUGACGCCCUUGGAUGGGUCUGCGGCGGAUUAGGUUGACGCCGGUGUAACGUACCGGCGUGCCUGUAAUCCGUACGGGUUGUGGGAGCAAGAGCCCGGAGAUGGAUUCUGAGACACGAAUCCAGGCCCUACGGGGCGCAGCAGGCGCGAAAACUCUACAAUGCAGGCAACUGCGAUAGGGGGACAUCGAGUGGCAUCCACCUUGGGUGCCUGUCCCACCGUCUAAAAAACGGUGGUUAGCAAGGGCCGGGCAAGACCGGUGCCAGCCGCCGCGGUAAUACCGGCGGCUCGAGUGGUGGCCGAUAUUAUUGAGUCUAAAGGGUCCGUAGCCGGCUUUGCAAGUCCCCUGGGAAAUCCAGCGGCUUAACCGUUGGGCUUUCAUGGGAUACUACAUUGCUUGGGACUGGGAGAGGUAGGAGGUACUCGGGGGGUAGGGGUGAAAUCCUGUAAUCCCCCGGGGACCACCGGUGGCGAAGGCGUCCUACCAGAACAGGUCCGACGGUGAGGGACGAAAGCUAGGGGCACGAACCGGAUUAGAUACCCGGGUAGUCCUAGCCGUAAACGAUGCCCGCUAGGUGUCACGGCGGUCGUGAAUCGCCGUGGUGCCGUAGGGAAGCCGCGAAGCGGGCCACUUGGGAAGUACGGCCGCAAGGCUGAAACUUAAAGGAAUUGGCGGGGGAGCAC
rnacentral:rRNA from 2 species